rnacentral:rRNA from 1 species
UACAGAGGGUGCAAGCGUUGUUCGGAAUUACUGGGCGUAAAGGGCGCGUAGGCGGUUUGGUAAGUCAGAUGUGAAAGCCCGGGGCUCAACCCCGGAAGUGCAUUUGAAACUACCAGACUAGAGUGCAGUAGAGAAUGGCGGAAUUCCCAGUGGAGAGGUGAAAUUCGUAGAUAUUGGGAGGAACACCGGUGGCGAAGGCGGCCAUUUGGGCUGUAACUGACGCUGGAGGCGCGAAAGCGUGGGUAGCAAACAGG